GACGAACGCUGGCGGCGUGCUUAACACAUGCAAGUCGAACGGAAAGGCCCUGCUUUUGUGGGGUGCUCGAGUGGCGAACGGGUGAGUAACACGUGAGUAACCUGCCCUUGACUUUGGGAUAACUUCAGGAAACUGGGGCUAAUACCGGAUAGGAGCUCCUGCUGCAUGGUGGGGGUUGGAAAGUUUCGGCGGUUGGGGAUGGACUCGCGGCUUAUCAGCUUGUUGGUGGGGUAGUGGCUUACCAAGGCUUUGACGGGUAGCCGGCCUGAGAGGGUGACCGGCCAAAUGGGGACUGAGACAGGGCCCAGCCUCCUACGGGGGGGAGCAGGGGGAAAUAUGGCACAAUGGGGGGAAGCCUGAUGCAGCACCGCCGGGUGGGGGAGGACGGCCUUCGGGUUGAAAACCGCUUUCGCCUGGGACGAAGCGUGAGUGACGGUAAUGGGUAAAGAAGCACCGGCUAACUACGUG
rnacentral:rRNA from 1 species